AUUCCAGCUCCAAUAGCGUAUAUUAAAGUUGUUGCGGUUAAAAAGCUCGUAGUUGGAUCUCGGCGAACAGGGGGCGGUUCGUUAUUUGACGGUACUGCCCCAUUUGUUCGUAUUUUUGCAAGAGGGUUGGGGGUCCCCUUCAUUGGGUGUCUCCGGUCGCUUGCAGGUUUACUUUGAAAAAAUUAGAGUGCUCAAAGCAGGCUACAAAGCUUGAAUAUUUGUGCAUGGAAUAAUGGAAUAGGAAGUCGUUUCUAUUUUUUUGGUUUUCGGAAAUUGACUUAAUGAUUAAUAGGGACAGCCGGGGGCAUUAGUACUCAGACGACAGAGGUGAAAUUCUUGGACCGUUUGAGGACUAACUACUGCGAAAGCAUUUGCCAAGAGUGUUUUCAUUAAUCAAGAACGAAAGUUAGAGGUUCGAAGGCGAUCAGAUACCGCCCUAGUUCUAACCAUAAACGAUGCCAGCUAGCGAUCUGCGGGUGUGUAAAAACAAGACCCCGCAGGGAGCUUCCGGGAAACCAAAGCUUGUGGGUUCCGGGGGAAGUAUGGUUGCAAAGCUGAAACUUAAAGGAAUUGACGGAAGGGCACCACCAGGAGUGGAGCCUGCGGCUUAAUUUGACUCAACACGGGAAAUCUCACCAGGCCCGGACACCGGAAGGAUUGACAGAUUGAGAGCUC
rnacentral:rRNA from 1 species